rnacentral:rRNA from 1 species
UACGAAGGGGGCUAGCGUUGCUCGGAAUUACUGGGCGUAAGGCGCACGUAGGCGGAUUGUUAAGUCGGGGGUGAAAUCCUGGAGCUCAACUCCAGAACUGCCUUCGAUACUGGCGAUCUCGAGUUCGGGAGAGGUGAGUGGAACUGCGAGUGUAGAGGUGAAAUUCGUAGAUAUUCGCAAGAACACCAGUGGCGAAGGCGGCUCACUGGCCCGAUACUGACGCUGAGGUGCGAAAGCGUGGGGAGCAAACAGG